CCUACGGGAGGCAGCAGUGAGGAAUAUUGGUCAAUGGCCGGAAGGCUGAACCAGCCAAGCCGCGUGAGGGAGGAAGGCGCAGAGCGUCGCAGACCUCUUUUGCCGGGGAACAAAAGGCCGGACUCGUCCGGUCCUGAGGGUACCCGGAGAAUAAGCCACGGCCAACUACGUGCCAGCAGCCGCGGGAAUACGUAGGUGGCAAGCGUUAUCCGGAUUUACUGGGGGUAAAGGGCGUGUAGGCGGGACUGCAAGUAAGAUGUGAAAACGAUGGGCUCAAACCAUGGCCUGCAGUUGAAACUGUAGUUCUUGAGUGUUGGAGAGGCAGGCGGAAUGCGGGGUGUAGCGGUGAAAUGCGUAGAUAUACGGAAGAACCCCGGUGGCGAAGGCGGCCUGCUGGAGAAUAACUGACGCUGAGGCGCGAAAGCGUGGGGAGCGAACAGGAUUAGAUACCCCGGUAGUC
rnacentral:rRNA from 1 species